GACGAACGCUGGCGGCGUGCUUAACACAUGCAAGUUGAACGGAGAGGCCCUGCUUUUGUGGGGUGCUCGAGUGGCGAACGGGUGAGUAACACGUGAGUAACCUGCCCUUGACUUUGGGAUAACUUCAGGAAACUGGGGCUAAUACCGGAUAGGAGCUCCUGCUGCAUGGUGGGGGUUGGAAAGUUUCGGCGGUUGGGGAUGGACUCGCGGCUUAUCAGCUUGUUGGUGGGGUAGUGGCUUACCAAGGCUUUGACGGGUAGCCGGCCUGAGAGGGUGACCGGCCACAUUGGGACUGAGAUACGGCCCAGACUCCUACGGGAGGCAGCAGUGGGGAAUAUUGCACAAUGGGCGGAAGCCUGAUGCAGCAACGCCGCGUGCGGGAUGACGGCCUUCGGGUUGUAAACCGCUUUCGCCUGUGACGAAGCGUGAGUGACGGUAAUGGGUAAAGAAGCACCGGCUAACUACGUG
rnacentral:rRNA from 1 species